UGGGAUGUAGCCAAGUGGUAAGGCACCAGACUUUGACUCUGGCAUUCCGCAAGUUCGAACCUUGCCAUCCCAGCCA
rnacentral:tRNA from 1 species